CAGCUGUGGGGCCUCAGGAGGCAGGACUCAGGGAUGACCUCCACCAUGGCCUGGGCCCCUCUCCUCCUCACCCUC
rnacentral:pre_miRNA from 1 species